rnacentral:rRNA from 1 species
UGCCAGCCGCCGCGGUAAUACAGAGGGUGCAAGCGUUAAUCGGAAUUACUGGGCGUAAAGCGUGCGUAGGCGGAUGCUUAAGUCAGAUGUGAAAGCCCUGGGCUUAACCUAGGAAUUGCAUCUGAUACUGGGCAUCUAGAGUAUGGUAGAGGAUAGUGGAAUUUCAGGUGUAGCGGUGAAAUGCGUAGAGAUCUGAAGGAACACCAGUGGCGAAGGCGACUGUCUGGGCCAAUACUGACGCUGAGGUACGAAAGCAUGGGUAGCGAACAGGAUUAGAUA